ensembl:lncRNA
CUCAGGGGAAGAAGGAGGGUUGUUGUGCUCUGACCCACUGACUGUUUUUUUUAACCAGUGCAAGUCUGUACAAACGUCUCUAAUCUGAGUCCCUUCAUCGGCAUGAAUGGUAUCUUUCAUUGCACACAGAAUAAAGCAGCCUGGCUAUGGGAAAACAUGUCUGCCACCUGCUUGAGUGCUAGCGGGCAAACCUGCAUUGCAAAUUUGUCCCAUCACUCCAGCUUCGCACCCAUGCCCCUAUAGUCACCAUGCUGCUCUUCUUUAGCAAGAAUGUUCACACAAAGGGGCUCUCAUGCUGCUGAUGGGACUCUGGACAUUUUUGGAGAGUUUGCAUGAAACAAAGAAAAUGCUUGACUUGUUAGGAAGAUUUUCACAAUUAGAAUAGAAAGUAUUUGAACCGUUCAGCAUCUAAAACAGAUUGCAUAUGUAUACAGUAAAAUGUAUUAAUAACAGUGCUUAAGAUGAAUGGUGUUAAUAUUCCAUAUACUUCCCUGAUAUGUGAAUUAAUUAUUGAGAUUCUUAAUUCAUAAUAUUCAUAAUAUAUGCAAAAUUAAAUUUCAAGCCACUAAAGUUAAACAUAAUACAAAUGCUGUGUUGAAAAAAAGAAGACUUUCUUAGCUUGCUUAUAAACAAAUUACUCCACAACACACUCGUGUAAUUUUACAGUCUCCUCCUAAUGUUGCAAUUUGUUCUACGCAUCUAUGGCAGUCCUUUAGAAAUCCAAAUUAAGAAAUGACAGCAAAGCAAAGUCAGCUGAUUUCCCCCUACCAUAAUCAUGAUAAGGGAGCUGACACAUAAAGUCAUUUACUUUAUUAUUAUUAUUACAUUGUUUAAAUAUAUUUUGAAUAAAAUAGACAGCCAGUUCGUUCAUUUAAUAAAAAUUCAGGUAAUAUCUGAGGAGCUAAUAAGGAGCUGCGUGCUGUAUCCAUCAUGCUUGACCUUUUUUUAAAUUCUUUUUUUCUAACCUAUAUCACACAUCAUUGUAACUGCACUAGCCAUAUCCCCCUGUGAUGUUAGCACAGCAGACAACUGCUAACUUCCAGGAAUGACAAAAUACAGCACCAACCAACAAUUAGCACCAGAUUUGCUAAGCACACCAUAAAUAAACAGAUUUCACAUAUUUCAGGGUGGAGUUUUCCUUUAACUGGCCCACUACAACAGAGCUCAGCGUGUUCUGGAAAACUCACCCUCUAAGUGUAGUCGUGGUAAAAACAAAGCAUUUUGCACUUAACACAAUGAGAAAUGAUAUUUAGCCGAGUGACAGAGGAAUAUCUGGGACUUCAUGUUAUCUUGAUACAGCAAAAUGUUCAAACAUUCCAAUGCAAAAGGGGGAAAACUGAGGUUAGUAACCAAGUGAGCCCACAGUGUUAGGGUUUAUUUUAUUACAUUUUAGUGCUUGUAACUGCUCCCUCAGGCAGCACUGUGAGUGCACUACUUCAUGAGUUUUUUUUAUGACGGUUGAAACCACUCCAGUGAUUAAUGAUGACAAUCUGUCUGGAAUGGUUUCACCUUUCCUCCCUUUUUGGCUUCUUUCUGUCAUGUUAAUCUUUCAAGAGCUCUUCACUCUAUGCACUUGGCACAUUUUUGAAAUAGUCACUCAGGAAUUCAGACAGUUGAUUCACAAGGCAGGAGGUAAGUGUUACGUGUGUCUGUAUGGAUGAUUUUGCGAUGUGUAAAGAGCAUACGGUUCUUCAUGUUUGAAGCAUUUACCUGUGUCAUGAGUAAGAUGUUACUCCAUGGGUUAGUCUGAAGAGCUCAAUGUAUGUCAUGAUUUUCACACAAAAUCAGUAGUUUUCUGCUGUGCUUCUGUUGAUAGACGCAAUGUGGCACUCCUUAAAUGUUUUGCAGGUAUCUUGGGUGUUGGGUUUAUUUGUGGCAUAAAGGUGUGACUUUACGCAGCUCAGGAAGGGAAGACUCAAGCAGCAUCACUUGAGGAAUGUCUUGAGAAGAACAAAGUGGUCUCGGCAUGCUUCAAGAUGAGGUUGCUAAAAAGAUGUUCACCAACUUGGUGCAAAUAUUGUGUGAUCCUUUACUGUGAGGAACCUAAUUUCUGGCACUUUUCAAGAGUUUUUCCUUUAAAUGUCUGCAGAAUGGCCAUGGACCAGAUCCAUCCAUCCAUCCAACUUCUAUACCGCUUAUCCUUUUCAGGGUCACGGGGAAGCCUGGAGCCUAUCCCAGGGAGCAUCGGGCACAAGGCGGGGUACACCCUGGACAGGGUGCCAAUCCAUGGACCAGAAGCAUACCAAAAAUUCCUGUAGUUUUCCAGGGAAAAGCAAAUCGCAGAGGUGGUUCCACAUUCGUUACAGAGAAAUUGCCUUCCUUCACAGUGAAAGAGCUUGGUGUGCUUCUGUUUAAUAGAAUAUUAAGUUGAACUAUCAAUGCUUCAGACAGAAUCUGGUAAUAAAAAUAGUGUCA